rnacentral:rRNA from 1 species
UACGUAGGGUGCGAGCGUUAAUCGGAAUUACUGGGCGUAAAGCGUGCGCAGGCGGCGCGUUAAGACAGGUGUGAAAGCCCCGAGCUUAACUUGGGAAUUGCGCUUGUGACUGGCGUGCUGGAGUGUGGCAGAGGGAGGUGGAAUUCCACGUGUAGCAGUGAAAUGCGUAGAGAUGUGGAGGAACACCGGUGGCGAAGGCGGCAUCCUGGACCAAUACUGACGCUGAGGAGCGAAAGCCAGGGGAGCAAACGGG